rnacentral:tRNA from 1 species
GCCUGGGUGGCUCAGUCGGUUGAGCGUCUGACUUCGGCUCAGGUCAUGAUCUCAUGGUCCGUGGGUUCGAGCCCUGUGUCGGGCU